CAGAAGGCUAAAGGGCCAACAAGUGCUAAGCAUCUCUCGGGGAACUCCUUCAAGACUGUUGGAAGACCAUUUCAGGUGACUACCUCUUGAAGAUCAUCAAGAGAAUGCCAAGAGUGUGCAAAGCAGUAAUCAGAGCAAAAGGUGGCUACUUUGAAGAACCUAGAAUAUGACAUAUUGUCAUUUGUUUCACACUUUUUUGUUAUGUAUAUAAUUCCACAUGUGUUAAUUCAUAGUUUUGAUGCCUUCAGUGUGACUCUACAAUUGUCAUAGUCAUGAAAAUAAAGAAAACUCUUUGAAUGAGAAGGUGUGUCCAAACUUUUGGUCUGUACUGUAUAUGUUAAUGUGUAUAUACGUUUUAUUUCAAAUGUAAUAUUUUUUUUUCCUGUGAUGGCAAAGCUGUAUUUUCAGCUUCAUUACUCCAGUCUUCAUUGUCCCAUGAUCCUUCAGAAAUCAUUCUAAUAUUAUGAUUUGAUGCUCAAGAAACAUUUAUUAUUGUUUAAUUUGGAAAACAGUUGUGCUGCUUAUAUUUCAAUUUUUGUGGAAGCCAUUAUUAUUUUUUUUUUUUAAGGAUUCUUUGAUAAAAUAGAAAGCUCAGUAGGACUUUUAUCUGAAAUUAAGAUCAUUUGUAAAAUUAUGAAUGUUUUACUGUCACUUUUAAUCAAUUUAAUGCAUCAUUGCUUAGCAAAACUAUGAAUUUACCUCUUCUACAUCAAAUCAGUGAAUGCUGGAGGGGCCAGUGAACAGAGCGAGGCAGCUCUUAUCUCCACCAGAGGUACAAGGUUCCACUUCCUCAGUGAAACGGCCAGCUCACUGCUGAAGGUUUAAGAGGACAGGAACUCAGUAGAGUACCCACAUGACCUCUACAAUAAAAUGUCCUCUAUCAUAGACUGCAGAUUUGAGCUGCCUAAUGACAGCGUGGAGUCUGACAUCUUUGUCAUGGACAUACCUGUGCGGAUCUGCACUCUGUUGGACUACAGCCAGGGUGGGCUCUUCUUCUUUAAUGCUCAGAACGGGCAGCUCUUGGGCACUUUUCGGCAUGCCUUCACUCGGUCCUGCCACCCUGUGGUUGUCCUGGAGUAUCUGGGGAGUCUAGAACUAAAAAUGACCACGGAGGUGCCAGAGUUUGUUAAGCACUGCUAGUUUACUCCAUUGAAGCCUCAAAGCUCUGGGCUUGCUUGUGCCACAGAAUAUAAAUCAAGUGAUUCUUUCUUAAUAGUAAUCAGAUGAAACAAUAUCGUGCUGAAAAAUUCCUCAGUUCUAAGAAAUGGUGUGACUGAAGAGAUUAUGAGGAACAUAGUCAGGGUGACUAAAGGCAGUCUGCUGAAGGUAAUGACCAGUAAUGUGCAGGCAUGUCCAAAGGAAAACAAAGCCAAAACCUAGACAUUUUAGACAGUUUCGAAAUCCCAGCAAGGACAUGUCCAGGAAAAAGGACAUUUGGUCACCCUAAUUUACUUUUGUGAAAGGAAGGAUUGUUUUUGAAGCUGUGCUUUUAAAUCCCUCCAGAGCUGUUGCGUUGUUUUUGUAUACUGUAUAUGAAACAGAAAGUGCAUGCAACCGGUGUUGUCGUUUCUCAUACAGUAUAUGAUCACAUGAUGUGCAGACAUUCAUAUUUUAUUUUGGAGACUACAGGUUUCCAGGUUGUUUGAAUAAAAUGAAUAGAUGUUGGCAUUGCUACUAACAUGCUUUCAUUGCUGAAGUCUCCCUCGGCGGAGUUACGUGUUUUAAGAUGAUGGACAAGGCAUCACAAAUAAGUGAUGAAAAUAUUUAUUUUUCUGUGGUUUACUGUAUUUAUAUUUGGGUGAGUAAAGAGAUUUCAGUUUUCACUUCCAAUGGAUCAUCACAGUAUCAUGUGCAUAUUAUAUAUAUAUAUAUAUAUAUAUAUAUAUAUAUAUAUAUAUAUUUGCUGCUCUUGAAAGCCUCACUGUGUGACAGUCAAAA